rnacentral:rRNA from 1 species
AUUGAACGCUGGCGGCAGGCCUAACACAUGCAAGUCGAGCGAGCGGCGGACGGGUGAGUAAUGUCUGGGAAACUGCCUGAUGGAGGGGGAUAACUACUGGAAACGGUAGCUAAUACCGCAUACUAUCAGAUGUGCCCAGAUGGGAUUAGCUGGUAGGUGGGGUAACGGCUCACCUAGGCGACGAUCCCUAGCUGGUCUGAGAGGAUGACCAGCCACACUGGAACUAGGACACGGUCCGGACUCCUACGGGAGGCAGCAGUGGGGAAUAUUGCACAAUGGGCGCAAGCCUGAUGCAGCCAUGCCGCGUGUAUGAAGAGGGCCUUCGGGUUGUAAAGUACUUUCAGCGGGGAGACGUUACCCGCAGAAGAAGCACCGGCUAACUCCGUGCCAGCAGCCGCGGUAAUAC